CGCAGAUAACAUGAUUCAUCAUGGAAACAGGAGAGAAAAGGGCUCAAACCUCCUACUUCUCCCCAGUGGAGUUAUAUAUUAAUGAAUGUGUAUGCGGAAUAUGAGUAUAUAUUUAAGAAAAAAACAAUACAGUAGCAGCAGAAAAAGAAUGUGAGCUGGCGUGGCAGAAAAUUGCUGACCGAGUCAAUGCGUGCAACCCAAAAGGCACAAAAUGUACUUGGCAACAACUGAAUAUGAAAUAUAAACAUUUCCUUCAAACAGAUUUGACCUCCAUUAUAGCCAAUACAAAAAAGGCUGAGGGAUGAAAAACCAGUGGGGGCCCUCAAUCAAAACCGUGGGUGACCUAUUGCUGAAGGUGUCUCUGGAGGAAGCUCAUCUGACCCAACCACCCCCUAAAAAGGCCUACAUAAAAUGUUAGUUAUUCAAAUUAACGGUAUAUGUACAUUCAUCCUUUUGCCAGUGUUACCUCAGUGACGCUCCCAACCAUCUUAGACAUAACUUGACACACUGAGUUUCUUGUAUCGGUACAAUUAUUUGUAAUUGACUGCUGUUACUUUUUCAGAUUCUUAGUUGUUCAGAUAUCAUAAUUGUUACAUAAUUGAUAUCAUAACUGUUACUUUUUCAGAUUCUUAUUAGUUCAGAUAUCAUAAUCCAUUUUAAGGUGACUCAGUAUUACAUAUUUGAAAAAUUGAUGUGACCUGCACACUGUUGUAAAAACUAAAUUCAAAUUAGGUGGGGCACUUCUGGGUAAAGUUAUUAUUUAACUGUCUGGAGCCUUCUGCCGUAACUGACCUCCAUGCAGUUUUAAGUACUCUUAAUACCCUCCAGAUUUUUCAUAAUGGGUUAUAGUACAACCCCAAAAUGGUUCAUUUUCAUUACAGGAGGAUGAUGAAGACACCUUGUCAGCUGCAACAAAGAGGGGGAAAAUACAGUGAGGCCUUUUGAGGUUUACACCUUAAAUAACAGCUAACUGUUGAAAGUGUUCUACCAUAGUUGAACUUGCACCUUAUUUUUCUCUGGCAGAGCAAUUCUGUAAAUUACAAUGAGGAAGAGGGUCCAUCCACCUCCAUGGUUCAACUUACCUCA